rnacentral:lncRNA from 1 species
UUCCUUUUUAUACAAACUACCACUUUAAAACAUAUAUCUAAUUAACAAUGUUCAUACCCAACACCUAUUUAGUAUAUAUGGUGUGGGCUACUCUAUAUAGAGCUAUUCCAAAAUAUAAGUAGUAAGCCCAACAAGAUGGAGAGCACAGACAAGCAAUAUGACAUUGGCCAUGGCUGAGACUUGAGGGCUCAAAGCCGGAGAUGCUAACAAUUGAGAGAGAAAUAG